rnacentral:rRNA from 1 species
UACGAACUGUGCGAACGUUAUUCGGAAUCACUGGGCUUACAGGGUGCGUAGGCGGCCUGUUAAGUAGGGUGUGAAAGCCCCCGGCUCAACCGGGGAAUGGCGCCCUAAACUGGCGGGCUGGAGUGAGAUAGGGGUGUGUGGAACUUCCGGUGGAGCGGUGAAAUGUGUUGAUAUCGAAAGGAACGCCGGUGGCGAAAGCGACACACUGGAUCUUGUCUGACGCUGAGGCACGAAAGCCAGGGGAGCGAACGGG